UUAAAAUUAAGACUGUCAUAGAACAGAUGAUGUAACACUACAGGGUAAACACUAUAGGGUAAACAUCCCUAAUCCAAAAUCUGAAAUUCUCCAAAACCUGACAUUUUUUGAUUGUUGACAUGAUGCUUGAAGAAAUGCUCUUCAAGGCCGGGCGCGGUGGGUCACGCCUGUUAUCCCAGCAGGGGAGGCUGAGGCGGGCAGAUCACAAGGUCAGGAGAUCACGACCAUCCUGGCUAACAUGGUGAAAGCCCGUCUCUACUGAAAAUACAAAAAAUUAGCCAGGCGUGGUGGCGGGCGCCUGCAGUCCCAGCUACUCUGGAGACUGAGGCAGGAGAAUGGCAUGAACCCGGGAGGCGGAGCUUGCAGUGAGCCGAGAUUGCGCCACUGCACUCCAGCCUGGGCGACAGGGCGAGACUCCGUAACCAAAAAAAAAAAAAAAAAAGAAAAGAAAAAAAUGCUCUGCAAGUGUUUCAGAUUUUGGAUUUUAGGAUUAGGGAUGUACAAGUGGUGUAACGCAAAUAUUCCAAAAUCUGAAAAAAUCCAAAAUAUGAAACAUUUCUGGUCUCAAGCAUUUCAGAUAAGAGAUACUCAAUGUGUAUUUGGUUGAAAGAGCUAACUUAUAUAAAUGAUUAUACAGUUGUACAACUCAAAGUAAAAGGAGUUCCAUUAGUGUUUUUACAGCUCAAGUUAGUGAACCUAUUUAACUAAACCUCAAAACUAAACAACUGAAAAAGUGUUCAGUCUUAAAAGGAAGCAAAAGAAGCGUUUUUUACUUACCUCUUUUUUUUGAGACAGUCUAUCUCUGUCACCCAGGCUGGUUUCAAACUCCUGUCCUCAAGUGAUCCUUCUGACUUGGCUUCCCAAAGUACUGGGAUUACAGACAUGAGCCACCAGGUCUGGCCAGCGAAGUUUAUUUUUAGGUUGAGAAAACACGUAACAUCUUUACAUAUCUUUGAAAGAUUUAAAAUAUUUUAGCCAGGCUCGGUGGCUCACACCUAUAAUCCCAGCACUUUGGGAGGCUGAAGCAGGUGAAUCACCUGAGGUCAGGAUUUCGAGACCAGCCUGGCCAACGUGACAAAACCCCGUCUCCACUAAAAAUACAAAAAGUAGCCAGGUACAGUGGUGCACGCCUGCAGUCCCAGCUACUCGGGAGGCUGAGCACAAGAAUCGCGGGAACCCAGGAGGUAGAGGCUGUAGUAAGCUGAGAUGGCACCACUGCACUCCAGCCUGGGUGACAGAGUGAGACUCUGUCUCAAAAAGAAUAAAUAAAUAAAUAAUAAGAUGUUUUUAUUUAUAAAUUACAAAAGUCACAUGUAUUUUUUCCUCAUCUUUUAAAAAAAUGACUUCUUCCUUCUAAACCUACUUAAUUUGUUGCCAACAUUUAUGAUUUACUAAUUAAAUCUCUCCAAUGGUCUGAGUAGGCUUUUUUUUAAAGUAAAAUUUCCAAGUACCUAGUGAAAAAAAGCAUUUCUCAUUUCAAUCAUCUCAUCCUAAACCUUGCCCUUUUAUGCUAAAGUGUUAGUUAAUGCUGACUCAACACAUUUGGCAAGUGAGUUUUUUUUCUCCCACUUCUGGACCCUUCAAACUUUAACCAGUUUUUCCAGCAACCAAAACUCAUGCCAUAUUAAGUGUAUUGUGUUACUAGGUCAGUGAAGAAAAAAACUUAACACGUAUCUUCAAAGUAAAAAUGACACCUCAUUCAUGCCUGUAAUCCCAGCACUUUGGGAGGCCAAGGCUGGUGGAUCACUUGAGCCCAGGAAUUCAAGAUCAGCCUGGUCAACAGGGUGAAGCCCUGUCUCUACUAAAAAUACAAAAAUUAGCUAGGCAUGGUGGCGCACACCUGUAGUCCCAGCUACUCGGGAGGCUGAGGCAGAAGAAUUGCUUGAACCAGGGGGCGGAGGUUGCAGUAAGCAGAGAUGGCUCCGAUGCACUCCAGCCUGGGCAACAGAGGAGGACUCCGUCUCAAAAAAAAAAAAAAAAAAGACACCUCUUUUCCCUUUUCUAUUUCUUGACCUCAUUGAAAUAAAAUUUUCUAUACAAAAAGGCAACUGUAAAAAUGCUACUACAUUUUGAUAAACAUAUUUUAUUUAUUUAUUUUUUUUUUGGAGACAAGAGUCUCGCUCUGUCCCCAGGCUGGAGUGCAGUGGCGUGAUCUCAGCUCACCACAACCUCCACCUCCCAGGUUCAAGUGAU
rnacentral:lncRNA from 1 species